AGAGUUUGAUCCUGGCUCAGAUUGAACGCUGGCGGUAUGCUUAACACAUGCAAGUCGAACGGUAACAGAGGAUAGCUUGCUAUCUUGCUGACGAGUGGCGGACGGGUGAGUAACGCGUAGGGAUCUACCCAGCUGCGGGGGAUAGCCCGGUGAAAACCGGAUUAAUACCGCAUACGACCUUCGGGUGAAAGGGUGCCUCUCCUUGGAAGCACUCACAGUUGGAUGAACCUGCGUCAGAUUAGCUAGUUGGUGGGGUAAUGGCCUACCAAGGCGACGAUCUGUAGCUGGUCUGAGAGGAUGAUCAGCCACACUGGGACUGAGACACGGCCCAGACUCCUACGGGAGGCAGCAGUGGGGAAUAUUGCGCAAUGGGCGAAAGCCUGACGCAGCAAUACCGCGUGUGUGAAGAAGGCCUGCGGGUUGUAAAGCACUUUCAGUAGGGAGGAAAGGUUUAGUGUUAAUAGCACUAAACUGUGACGUUACCUACAGAAGAAGCACCGGCUAACUCCGUGCCAGCAGCCGCGGUAAUACGGAGGGUGCAAGCGUUAAUCGGAAUUACUGGGCGUAAAGCGCGCGUAGGUGGAUUAUUAAGUCAGAUGUGAAAGCCCAGGGCUUAACCUUGGAACUGCAUUUGAUACUGGUAAUCUUGAGUACAGUAGAGGGAGGUGGAAUUUCAGGUGUAGCGGUGAAAUGCGUAGAUAUCUGAAGGAACAUCAGUGGCGAACAGGCGGCCUUCUGGACUGAUACUGACACUGAGGUGCGAAAGCGUGGGGAGCGAACAGGAUUAGAUACCCUGGUAGUCCACGCCGUAAACGAUGUCAACUAGCCGUUGGAUAUUUUACAUAUUUAGUGGCGCAGCUAACGCGAUAAGUUGACCGCCUGGGGGAGUACGGACGCAGUUUAAAACUCAAAUGAAUUGACGGGGGCCCGCACAAGCGGU
rnacentral:rRNA from 1 species